UGAUCUUUAAUCAUUAUGGUAAUUACAUUGGUUCUCUGUCCUUGAAAGUGUAGCAAGUAAUGGGCUAAUCGGAUUAGGUCAUUAGGUACAGACCAAUCAGAAACAAAUGCUCAUUUUUUGAAGUAUCAUCAGUUGCUGUAAAGCUGUCUUCAUACACAGUUUACAUACUAAAGAAUUUCAGCAUUAUCAAAUAAAUGGUUUUCAAUCCAUUGACAGGAAGCCAUGUUUGUUGCAAUAUAUUGUUUGUGGUAGACACUGGGAAAAAACCGACUAUUGAAUGUGUAUUUAUUUUGCCUCUUGGUACAAAAUUGAUGGAAGAGCAGUCAUGAUGAGGCAGUAAAGGUUCUUGGAUACCUUGCUUCAAUACCUCUGGUCGGACAAGAAAAGACUUGGCUAAGGAGUAGUGCUUCAAAUAAUUUAUCACCAAGAAAGUUACUGAUUUAAACCGAAACCUGUAACGCGAAAGAUUCUUAAUUAAGCUAAGUAGACGUGCAAUAGUAGCUGUUGUUAUAUUACAAAAACUCUGAUUUAAACAUGCCUGUAUAGUACAAUGCAUAAUAUUUUAUGUUUUUUGCAAGUUUCAAUUAAAGAAAAAUGGUCAAGUAUA